UAAGAUAACAGUUUGCGCAUCAGACUUUGUUCUCUUAAUUACAGGCUCUGCUUUCAAACAAAUUUGCUAUUUCUUAUGUACGUAUGUUCGCUGAGUAGUAGUUUCUACACGGUCUAAUUAUAAUCAGUCACUCAUACUAUUUAGGUGUCAAAUAUGAAAAUACUAAAAAAUACUACAUCUUUACCUAUGUUCUAGCGUUAGGCAUUACUCGAAUGACCAGUCUAGACAUGUAUUAUUUUCUAUUUCCGUUAUUCUUACAUAUUACAAUAGUUUAUCUGAUUUGCACACAAAGAACCUCAUAUUUAACAUGAAUCAUACUUGCAGGUGCAUUUCGUUUUAUAUUCAUAUGAUACUUGGAAAGCUCAGGUAAUUUAUUUGACUUCAGAGAACACUUUAUACCAGCAGGUGCAUUUGUUUUAUUUUUAUUGUACCUUUGAGAGGACGAAAGGGACGAGCACGAUGAUGGAAAUAGCAUCCAUGAGUUCGCCCACCGGAAGUACCACAAGCUCGGUGAGUUUGGAGGUGGCCUCGGUCUCGAACUUUGAUUGCCUCUCCUCUGCGGCCCUCCUGGAGAUGGACGCCUCUGGGUUCCAGCCAGACCAGCAACACUGCAACAAUUUACAUGCACAGAACAAUGUCUACACGGACAUGUUGAUCAUCAGAAGUGAAGAAUCAAGAUAUCAUCGUAAGUGAAGAAUCAAGAUGCAAUCAAUAUGUGGAUUAUAGAUAUGCCUGUGCGUGCAAGAGGUUUCAGAUCACCACUGACAUCAAAGAGUAACUUCAGUCCUUGGCUAAAAAUACUCUCUCCAGCAAAGAAUAUCGUGUUAGCAAAUCCGAUGCUAGAGAUUUCUAUAUUGAUUCUAAGAUGGAUUCUCAAAUUACUUCAGAGAAGCAACAGUGUCAGCUUUCUUGAAAAUUUAAGGAGAAAGAAGAAAUCUGUGCUGCCCAGUGCCCUCCAGCAGAAGGUACGAGGUAAAAUAGCUGAUGCUGUUAGUAGCUAAUUACCUGCAAAGCCGGCCAUAAAUGUCCACACUGUCCUUAUGCAAAUAGUGGAGUUGGAGCGCAAACUUCGACAACAGCACUAAUCAGACUCCAAGGAUGUUUGCAUAACUGGUGAUACCAUGAGACACGGGGAUGACCAUGUAUCAUGGAUGGCCUAUCACAUACAUACAGUUGUGUGCCUUCACGGAACGGCCGGCAAUCGCUUGAUGGGUCGCAGCCCUCUUGCUGGGCGGCUACUCGAAGAAGAUAUGUAUCCCGUGGCUUAUGGACCUACCAUUCCUGCACUUUAGUUGGUUGAUGCGAUGGAGGG